rnacentral:rRNA from 1 species
AUUGAACGCUGGCGGCAGGCCUAACACAUGCAAGUCGAGCGGUAGCACAGAGAGCUUGCUCUCGGGUGACGAGCGGCGGACGGGUGAGUAAUGUCUGGGAAACUGCCUGAUGGAGGGGGAUAACUACUGGAAACGGUAGCCAAUACCGCAUAACGUCGCAAGACCAAAGAGGGGGACCUUCGGGCCUCUUGCCACCAGAUGGGCCAAGAUGGGAUUAGCUAGUAGGUGGGGUAACGGCUCACCUAGGCGACGAUCCCUAGCUGGUCUGAGAGGAUGACCAGCCACACUGGAACUGAGACACGGUCCAGACUCCUACGGGAGGCAGCAGUGGGGAAUAUUGCACAAUGGGCGCAAGCCUGAUGCAGCCAUGCCGCGUGUAUGAAGAAGGCCUUCGGGUUGUAAAGUACUUUCAGCGGGGAGGAAGGCGGUGGGGUUAAUAACCUCAUCGAUUGACGUUACCCGCAGAAGAAGCACCGGCUAACUCCGUGCCAGCAGCCGCCGUAA